GAUGAACGCUGGCGGCGUGCCUAACACAUGCAAGUCGAACGGGAUGCGUAACGGAAAGCUUCGGCCGGAAGAUACGUUAUCUAGUGGCGGACGGGUGAGUAACACGUGGGUAACCUGCCUUAUGGAGGGGGAUAACAGAGAGAAAUCACUGCUAAUACCGCAUAAGCACACAGUACCGCAUGGUACAGGGUGAAAAGAUUUAUCGCCAUAAGAUGGACCCGCGUCUGAUUAGCCAGUUGGCAGGGUAAAAGCCUACCAAAGCAACGAUCAGUAGCCGAUCUGAGAGGAUGACCGGCCACAUUGGGACUGAGACACGGCCCAAACUCCUACGGGAGGCAGCAGUGGGGAAUAUUGCACAAUGGGGGAAACCCUGAUGCAGCGACGCCGCGUGAGUGAAGAAGUAUUUCGGUAUGUAAAGCUCUAUCAGCAGGGAAGAUAAUGACAGUACCUGACUAAGAAGCCCCGGCUAACUACGUGCCAGCAGCCGCGGUAAUACGUAGGGGGCAAGCGUUAUCCGGAUUUACUGGGUGUAAAGGGAGCGUAGACGGAGUGGCAAGUCUGAAGUGAAAACCCUGGGCUUAACCUAGGGACUGCUUUGGAAACUGUUAAUCUAGAGUGUUGGAGAGGUAAGUGGAAUUCCUGGUGUAGCGGUGAAAUGCGUAGAUAUCAGGAAGAACACCGGAGGCGAAGGCGGCUUACUGGACAAUAACUGACGUUGAGGCUCGAAAGCGUGGGGAUCAAACAGG
rnacentral:rRNA from 1 species